AUUGAACGCUGGCGGCAUGCCUUACACAUGCAAGUCGAACGGCAGCAUGGAGAGCUUGCUCUCUGAUGGCGAGUGGCGAACGGGUGAGUAAUGCAUCGGAACGUACCGUGUAAUGGGGGAUAACGUAGCGAAAGUUACGCUAAUACCGCAUACGACCUGAGGGUGAAAGCAGGGGAUCGCAAGACCUUGCGUUAUACGAGCGGCCGAUGUAAGAUUAGCUAGUUGGUGAGGUAAAGGCUCACCAAGGCGACGAUCUGUGGCGGGUCUGAGAGGAUGAGCCUCCGCACGGGGACAGAGACACGGCCCAGACUCCUACGGGAGACAGCAGUGGGGAAUUGUGGACAAUGGGGGCAACCCUGAUCCAGCCAUGCCGAGUGAGUGAAGAAGGCCUUCGGAUUGUAAAGCUCUUUCGGCCGGGAAGAAAUCGCACAGGCUAAUACUCUGUGUGGAUGACGGUACCGGCAUAAGAAGCACCGGCUAACUACGUGCCAGCCGCCGCCGUAA
rnacentral:rRNA from 1 species